ACNCUCGACACCUACGGUAGGCAGCAGUAGGGAAUCUUCCACAAUGGGCGCAAGCCUGAUGGAGCAACACCGCGUGAGUGAAGAAGGGUUUCGGCUCGUAAAGCUCUGUUGUUGGAGAAGAACGUGCGUGAGAGUAACUGUUCACGCAGUGACGGUAUCCAACCAGAAAGUCACGGCUAACUACGUGCCAGCAGCCGUGGUAAUCUGAGCGGGCUGGCAAGGC
rnacentral:rRNA from 1 species